rnacentral:rRNA from 1 species
GGAAAGUGGGGGACUCGCAAGGGCCUCACGCUAUGGGAGCGGCCGAUGUCCGAUUAGCUUGUUGGCGGGGUAAUAGCCCACCAAGGCGACGAUCGGUAGCUGGUCUGAGAGGAUGAUCAGCCACACUGGGACUGAGACACGGCCCAGACUCCUACGGGAGGCAGCAGUGGGGAAUUUUGGACAAUGGGGGAAACCCUGAUCCAGCCAUGCCGCGUGCGGGAAGAAGGCCUUCGGGUUGUAAACCGCUUUUGGUCGGAAAGAAAAGGCGCACCCUAAUACGGGGCGUUCUUGACGGUACCGGCAGAAUAAGCACCGGCUAACUACGUGCCAGCAGCCGCGGUAAUACGUAGGGUGCGAGCGUUAAUCGGAAUUACUGGGCGUAAAGCGUGCGCAGGCGGUUCUCCAAGUCCGUUGUGAAAGCCCCGGGCUCAACCUGGGAAUGGCAGUGGAAACUAGGGGACUUGAAUCUGGGCAGAGGGGGGUGGAAUUCCACGUGUAUCAGUGAAAUGCGUAGAGAUGUGGAGGAACACCGAUGGCGA